CUCACACCCAUGUGUGUAGAACCCCAAAGGAUCACCAUUAAAUUUGACACAGAUCUCUAGAAAAGUUAUCACAUGGGUGUGAGACUUGACUUUUCUAGAGAUCUGUGCCAAAUUUAAUGGUGAACCUUUGGGGUCCUACACACAUGGGUGUGGG
rfam:Amborella trichopoda AMTR_V1.0_contig_10005, whole genome shotgun sequence.